rnacentral:rRNA from 1 species
UACGUAGGUCCCGAGCGUUGUCCGGAUUUAUUGGGCGUAAAGCGAGCGCAGGUGGUUUAUUAAGUCUAGUGUAAAAGGCAGUGGCUCAACCAUUGUAUGCAUUGGAAACUGGUAGACUUGAGUGCAAGAGAGGAGAGUGGAAUUCCAUGUGUAGCGGUGAAAUGCGUAGAUAUAUGGAGGAACACCGGUGGCGAAAGCGGCUCUCUGGCCUGUAACUGACACUGAGGCUCGAAAGCGUGGGGAGCAAACAGG